CUUCCUUAUUAAACAUACAUCAAUAUAUAUACAUUUAAUUCGAAGCAUUUUUAUUAUUGAAGCAUAUACUUGAAGUUUCAAGACAAAAAGAACAAGAUGAAGGUGAUGCAAUUCGUCAUUUUGUUUGUGCUGACUUUUGUGCUCAAAGUCAUUGAAGCACAAAGUCAAAAUGAAGACCCGAAUACCGAGAGGUAUUGUUGUGGAGGGUAUAACGUUUACAGGUUUCCCUUUUAUUAUUGUAUGAGAUGGUGUACAAGACCUGUGACUCAGUUUGAGUUUUCGAGUGCAUAAGGAGUCGAAAAUAUAAUCUUGGUACCUGUUACUGUGGACACACAUGAACCAUCAAAGGAUAUAUGGCAAGGAAAGAAUUGAAUAAUUAUCUUUGUGAAAUAUUAAUUACUAAUAAACAGCAAUUAUAAAUAUCAC